UACGAAGGGUGCUAGCGUUGUUCGGAAUCACUGGGCGUAAAGCGCGCGUAGGCGGCUAUUCAAGUCAGGGGUGAAAUCCUGAGGCUCAACCUCAGAAUUGCCUUUGAAACUGUAUAGCUAGAGUGUCGGAGGGGAUAGCGGAAUUGCUAAUGUAGAGGUGAAAUUCGUAGAUAUUAGCAGGAACACCGGUGGCGAAGGCGGCCAUCUGGACCGCAACUGACGCUGAGGCGCGAAAGCGUGGGGAGCAAACAGG
rnacentral:rRNA from 1 species